GCCACGUAACUUCGAGGAGGGUGCCCCCUCACCAAAAGGGGGUCACGGUGCGUAGGCUUGGACGGCAGCUUAUCAAAAACACAGGGCUUCACAAAGUCGUAAUAUCAUGUGUGGGCUUAGCUCCUGCCUACUGUCGAAAGGUCAAGAAAGUUGAUGAACUGGUGACAGGGAAGUCGAAAAGUGAAGCCUUUGUGAACAUCAAAUGUAACUAUAACGGUUUUAAGGUGACAAAAUUCGUUGUAAGAUAAGUACCGACCCACAUGAAAGACAUAAAGAUGUGGGUACU
rfam:Triticum urartu cultivar G1812 contig582665, whole genome shotgun sequence.